AAGACUGAGAACCUCUGAAAAGAGAAAGACAGUAUUUUCAAUAAGAGGAAUCAUGGUUGGACAGUGACUCAACUGAAUUCUCUCUUUAGCUGUCUUCUCUUGCACCCUAUAUACUUGCAGCUCCAUGAAUUGAGGGGUUUGGUCUCGUUUCUGACAGUAUCUGAGAGUCCAGUCCAAUGCCUAGCUGAGUUAUGUCUCGACUGCCAUGAAUGAGACAGUGUGAAGAACAGAAACCAAUGCAAUGAACAGCCCUGGAAGCCGCCAGCGAUGGCUUGUCUGACAACAGAAAGAGGCAGGUUUCUCUCCUGAGCCUUGCACAGACGAUGCUGGCCCAAAUCCUUCCUGAUAAACAUCAAAUGGAGACAACCAGCUACAAGCAAUUCCUCCAACAACAGAAUAAAUAUUGGCACACCAAGAAAUAAUCUACUGAUGGGAAUAGAGGCCCUGAAAAUCAUCCCACAGUGAGUCAAUCCCAAGUUCAGCAGCAAAUCCUCAUUUUGACAGAAUCAGGAAGAUGUUGAAGAGGAACUCAAUCAGCUACUGAUGACUCCACUGAUUAUGGGCUUUCUCAAGCUGCCUUUAUGAAGAACAGGAAGACAAGAUGGUCGGCUCUUAUCCCUGAAGAGGAACUUGAUCCUGAUGGAAACAUCCUAAUGGAAAAUGUGGGUUGGGAUGGGAGCCCGUGAUGAAGUGGCAGCUUGGCCUCACCACAAGUCAUUCCAGUGACAUGCGUCACAGUGCCUUCCAGCUCCAAAUUUUCAGAAAUAGUUUUGCAUAUGGAAAAAUAUGAGGUGACAUAAAAUGGUAACAAAGGUUCUACAUUUCUAUUGACUCUUCAACCACAUGUCAAUUAGGGCCAAUAUUUAGAACAUACUGGAUCUUCUGAAAGCGUGAGAAAGGAAGGUGCAUUUCCUUGCUCUCCUUGCAAAAUAUACAUAGCUACGCAUUUGAUUUUUAUUGGGAAUGUAAUCAACAGAAUAUUUUAAUAAAAAAUGUGAAAGCAGGCAGAAAAUUUUCAUAUACAACAUAUAUAUAUAAUAUAUAUAUGUAGAAAAUGUACUUUAUUAUCAGCCAUUUCAAU
ensembl:lncRNA novel transcript